rnacentral:lncRNA from 1 species
UAAAAGUGAACAUAAAAACUUGAAUAAGCAUUGAAAUAAUCAAUUCAAACAACACUGUAUCUUUCAGAGAUUUUAUGGAGAGCAUUGAGAAUAUUGGUUGGAGAAGGAAAUGGCAGUCCACUCCAGUACUCUUGCCUGGAGAAUUCCAAGUACAGCGAAGCCUGGUGGGCUACAGUCCAUGGGAUUGCAAAGAGUCAGACACGGCUUUGCAACUUUCACUUUCGCUUGAGAAUAUUGGAAAGAGAAUAGCUUUGGUGGAUAUCUAGCCCUUUUGAGAUGAGCAUUGAACUGAAGGAAUAUAAAGGAAAAUAACACUACUAAGGGUAGGUAUGAAAUAGUAUGAAUAUACUAUUAAAAUUGUGUCCAAAAUGUAUUAGUCUGUUAACAAAACCCAGU